AUUAAUGAGUUCCGUCAGACGCUCCCUGUUUUUUUGAAUUUUCUAAUUUCUGUUUUAAUUUCUUUUAUUUCCAUUAUUUUCCAAAAUUCAUAUCGUCUUCAUUUUAAAUCCAAAAAAUAUGGGACCAAUUGCAUUUUUCUCCAAAUAAUUUCUAUUUUCUAAUUUUGAUUUUUAAUAUUUUUUAUUUUGUCAUUUGAUAUUUUUUGUGAAUUUUCUCUUUUCUGGUUAUUUU
rnacentral:lncRNA from 1 species